AGGAAAAGAAUUUUGAAAUUCCAAUUGAAGAAAAAUAAGUUUAUCAUUAAAAUGUUUUACAAAGUAUUUAAUCCAACAAAACGCGGAAAAAUUGGCGGGAAAAUGUUUUUCUUCCUCCCAAACAAUUAGCUCGGAAUUAUGUAAACUGUAGCUGGGGAAGUUUAGCUGAAAUAUACAUAGUUUUUUUUUAAGCGGGAAUAGUAAUUUAGCACUAAAAAAUUUUAAAAACUUUCUUUGGUUGGAUCUGUGUUUUUCAUGUUAAAAGCCCUUCCGUCAAAAAUCAGCCAGGAAGUGAGUUUUUCACUUUUAACUUCUCGUUUUCACUAGCCGAUGGUUGUUUUGACGCGUAUGCUAUUUUUUGUUUGUUUUUAGUUUAUUAAAGAAUGAAUUUCUCGUCUCUCCUUGUCUCUGCAAAAGGAAGACUCAUUAAAUUUGUCAAAACGAGAGAUGGUGAGUGUUAAAUGGGUUGUUAGAAUUGCAGCUCAGUUGUUCGAUAAACCGCCGCAGCUAACAAUAUAUUUGGGUGAACAUAAAUCUUACCUUGGGUUGCCAGUGUUAUUGAUAUGUUGGUUCUGACUAAGACUCCGACUUUUUCCUUAUUUCAGCUUGGUUUAUAGAGAUAGUCUCAGCGAAAGAGGAAUCAUUUAAUUUGAUAAAACUUAGAGAUAAUGGUGUUAAAUGCAUUGUCAGAAUUGCAUCCCAGUUGUUUGAUAAAACGCCACAGAGAAUAAUAUAUUUGGUUGAAGUGAAAUCUGACCGUUGGUUGCGGGUGUUAUUGAUACGUUGCUUCUGACCUUCUGUUCUACUAAAAAUGUACUAUGAUUCUUACCGUUCCGAAAAAAAUCUGAAUGAUUUCAUGUCUUUUCUUAUUUCAAUUUGGUCUUAGAGAUUGUCUCUGCAAAAAGGAAGACGCAUUAAAUUUGAUUAAACUAGAGAUAGUUGGUGUUAAAUGAGUUGUUUGGAUUGCAUCCAGUUGCUUGAUAAAAAGUCGGAGCGAACAAUAUGUUUUGGUUGAAGUGAAAUCUAUGGUUGCAGAUGUUAUUGAUCUGUUGGUUGUGUUCUACUAAAUCAGAAUGAUCUUCUUUCCUUAUUUCAGCUCGCCUAUAGUGAUUACUUACAUGCUCCCGUACAUGUGAUUUACUUUAUGCUCUUAUCUUAAUUACCUAUAACAGAUGCACAUUAGUAUUGACGAGUAAAGUAAAUUAGUUGGAACUUAACAACAUUAUAUUUAUUCCUAUUGAAGCAGGUUGGACAUAUUUUUUGUCUUUUGAUUCUAUUCCCAGGUUUUACAAAAGGGGGAGCUUCCUAUAUUGUAGAAAUGCAUUGCAGAAGACGCAAAGAUGGUGUCAAGUCAAUUAGUAACCCAAAGAAGGUGUUUAUGGAAGAUAAAAAGGCUUCAGCUCCAUUUAUGUGGAGAUGGCUGGAGUUCGGAAAGUAACUCAAAAGUGGUUUCUGCUGAGUUCUAGGGUUUUGAUGGCGGAAACAUUGUCCUCGUAGUAGCUCUGAACUUAGCUCCCGGAGAAGGAGAACCACUAUGAUCCACUUCCUUCAGAUCUUGAUACUUGUAAAACCAAGCACAUGUUACAUAGUAACCAAAGUUCAAUACUCCCCC